AACGAACGCUGGCGGCAGGCUUAACACAUGCAAGUCGAACGGUUGUAGCAAUACAGCAGUGGCAGACGGGUGAGUAACACGUGGGAACCUUCCUAGGGGUACGGAACAACUCAGGGAAACUUGAGCUAAUACCGUAUACGUCCGUGAGGAGAAAGAUUUAUCGCCCUUAGACGGGCCCGCGUCGGAUUAGCUAGUUGGUGGGGUAACGGCCUACCAAGGCGACGAUCCGUAGCUGAUCUUAGAGGAUGAUCAGCCACACUGGGACUGAGACACGGCCCAGACUCCUACGGGAGGCAGCAGUGGGGAAUCUUGGACGAUGGGCGCAAGCCUGAUCCAGCCAUGCCGCGUGAGUGAAGAAGGUCUUCGGAUUGUAAAGCUCUUUUACCAGGGACGAUAAUGACGGUACCUGGAGAAUAAGCCCCGGCAAACUUCGUGCCAGCAGCCGCCGUAAGAC
rnacentral:rRNA from 1 species